UCCGAAUUGGUCCAGUGGUUAGGAUCCUUCGCUCUCACCGAAGAGGCCCGGGUUCGAUUCCCGGAUUCGGAA